AGGACGAACGCUGGCGGCGUGCUUAACACAUGCAAGUCGAGCGGAAAGGCCCUUCGGGGUACUCGAGCGGCGAACGGGUGAGUAACACGUGAGUAAUCUGCCCCUAGCUCUGGGAUAGCUCCGGGAAACCGGGAUUAAUACCGGAUACGACCACCUUAGACAUCUUUUGUGGUGGAAAGAAUUUCGGCUAGGGAUGAGCUCGCGGCCUAUCAGCUUGUUGGUGGGGUAACGGCCUACCAAGGCGACGACGGGUAGCCGGCCUGAGAGGGCGACCGGCCACACUGGGACUGAGACACGGCCCAGACUCCUACGGGAGGCAGCAGUGGGGAAUAUUGCGCAAUGGGCGAAAGCCUGACGCAGCGACGCCGCGUGGGGGAUGAAGGCCUUCGGGUUGUAAAGCACUGUCGAGGGGAGGAAGACCCGCAAGGGUUUGACCUAUCCCUGGAGGAAGGCACGGGCGUAAGUUCGUGCCAGCAGCCGC
rnacentral:rRNA from 1 species